ensembl:lncRNA
ACUGUUCUGUGGUAGCAGUCUUAAUCAUCAAACUUAUGGUUGCAAUCAGCCUGGGGUCUAUGUGCUGUGGUCACAAUGAGUCACUAUCCUUCACCUGGGUGACGGUCUUAGUUUCUACAGAGCAACUCAAAGAUGCUCUUUCAGGGAGUUGAGACCAUGUGGCUAAGUUCUGGCCAAUAGGAAGCAGACAGAAGUCAGGAAGCCCACUUUUGGAUGUAACCCAUAAUACCUUUUCCCUGAGUUCUCCAGGUUCUCUUCCUUCCCCCUUCUGCUGGACAGAACCCAGAGGAGUCAACAGAGGACACUGGAUGUAAGAAACUUGGGUCUUUGAAUGACAGUGUGGAGGAGAAAACCCAA